rnacentral:lncRNA from 1 species
AAGUUAAGCAGGCCCUUCCCAACGCCAGCAGGAAAUUCUUCCCGGGUUCCUUGCCCCUCCCCACAGCCCCUUCCCACUUGUUCCAGGGUUCAUUUCCCCACCUUCUCAGUUACACAAACAAAACCACCAAGAGCACGACCCCAGGAGGACGCCGCACGCGCGAACACGCACACGCAAGCACACACUCACACACACUCUCUCUCUCUCUCUCUCUCUUUCUCUCACCGCUGCCCCAACCCCAGACACCUCUGGACACCCCUCUUCAGCCUCGCCGCUUCCACCCCUUCCACCCCUUCCAGCCAGGGAUGCUCUUCUGGGGCUGUUUCGCUCCGGUUCCUCUCCGUCCCUAGAUUUAGUCUUUUCCUUGUAAAACGCCAACACGAUAAACCCUCACCCCCGAAGAGGCCGAAAGGGUGCUGUGUCUGUGCCGACACCCGUGCGGGCUUCUGCCCACGGCCCGGAGCCGGAGCACUGGUGUCAACCUUCGGGGGCAAGUCUGGGAGGCUGUCUGGGCCCUUCUUCCCCCCGAGAAGCUUCCGGGAACCGGGCCGGACCUCGCCGGCAGGCCGGGAGAUGCGGUGCCCCGGGGGGCCGGCUGCCCGCCGCGUCCCCGUUCUGCGCCCCGCGCCCCGCUCGCCCCGAGCGCUCGGCCCCGCUCCGCCCGCGCGGCCCACCGGCCACCCGCCGGCGCUUCCCCGGCAUCGCCCGGCCUGCGGCCGCCCCCCGCCCGCCCCAAACCAACAAAUAAACACAACUUUUUAUGAAAAGAAAACAAACUUCAGCGACGUGACUCACCUCUGGGGCAGCCGGCUCCCGGGCAGGGCGAGCCGGGGCCCGGGGGCCAGCGUGGUGGGCGCGGAGAGAGCCACACAGCCCCGCGCCGCACGGACACACAACCCGCCCAGUGACACCCGGGGACACACCAAACGGGAGACGGGCCGCAGCGGGAGCAACAAAGGAGCCCGGGCCGAGAAGGUGCCGGCCGGGGAGGGAGGGCGCGUGGGGCUGCGGCGGGCGCGUGUGUGUGAGUGUGAGUGUGAGUGUGCGUGUGCGUGUGCGCGCGGCGGCUGA